rnacentral:rRNA from 1 species
GAGUUUGAUCGUGGCUCAGAACGAACGCUGGCGGUAUGCCUAAUACAUGCAAGUCGAACGAGAAAGUCAGCAAUGAUGAGUACAGUGGCGCACGGGUGAGUAACGCGUAGGUGACCUACCUUUUAGUUGGGGAUAACAAAAAGGAAAUUUUUGCUAAUACCGAAUGUGCUCGGCCAUUUUGAAUAAGGCCGAACAAAGAUGCCCUCUAUUUAUAAGGUAUCGCUAAGAGAAGGGCCUUGCGUCCGAUUAGCUUGUUGGUGGGGUAAUGGCCUACCAAGGCGAUGAUCGGUAACUGGUCUAAGAGGAUGAUCAGUCACACUGGAACUGAGACACGGUCCAGACUCCUACGGGAGGCAGCAGUAGGGAAUAUUGCGCAAUGGGGGCAACCCUGAUCCAGCCAUGCCGCGUGAGUGAUGAAGGCCUUCGG